GGAAGUAAAAGUUGUAACAAGGUUUCCGUAGGUGAACCUGCGGAAGGAUCAUUAAAAGUUAAAACUCUGCCCGAGACCUACCGGUCCCGGGCUCAGUCUCAACCCUUUGUGAACUCAAAAAACCAUUCGCUUCGGCAGCCUUCCCCUACCGGGGUCGUCAGCCUGCCGGCAGCACACUUUAAACCUGUCAUUUUAAAUUUAGUCUGAACCAUUCUAAUUCUGAAUGAAAAUUAAAACUUUCAACAACGGAUCUCUUGGUUCUC
rnacentral:misc_RNA from 1 species